AUGCAUGAUUGCUGCAUAAGCAUGUUCACAUGGAAUCCCAGUGACUUGCCACUUGCAGCAUGAGCAAUCCCAUUCUUUAGUCGUCAAGUUCACAGAAUUAGAAUUACCAUCUACCCAAACCUCAUACUUGCCAUGUGUUCCUUUUGUAACUUCACAUCUGAUAGCAUCCUCCUCCUCCUCAGCUAGAAUGUCUGAUACAUACUCGGAGACCUUUUUCUUCCAUCUCUCAACCUUUGUCUUCCUCUUACUAAUGCGUGCCAUA
rnacentral:lncRNA from 1 species